rnacentral:rRNA from 1 species
UCAAGCGAAUAAGGGUUCACAGAGGAUGCCUAGGAGCCAUAAGACGAAGAAGGACGUGAUUAGCUGCGAAAAGCCAUGGGGAAAGGCCAAUACUUUAAGAUCCAUGGAUAUCCGAAUGGGGUAACCCAGCAGAUAAAAUAUCUGUUACUAUAACACCAAUACAUAAUGUUAUAGAGUUAGACGUUGGGAACUGAACCAUCUAAGUACCAACAGGAAAAGAAAUCAAAAGAGAUUCCCUUAGUAGUGGCGAACGAAGAGGGAGAAGCCUAAACCUAUUAUGUGUAAGACUUACUUUGUUGCAUAAUAAGGGGUUACAGGGUCAUAUGAUUAAGUUAGUAAGGACUUAAGUACAGUAAGAAAACUAAUAUUGAGUGGAAUUGUUUUGGGAAAGCAAGUCAAAGAGGGUGAAAGCCCCGUACACGAAGGUAAUAGACUGUAUAAUAUGAAACCUAAGUACGACGGGACACGAGUAAUCUUGUCGGAAGUUGGGGAGCCCACUCUCCAAGGCUAAAUACUAGAUGGCUACCGAUAGCGCAUAGUACCGUGAGGGAAAGGUGAAAAGGACCCCGGGAGGGGAGUGAAAUAGAACCUGAAACUGUGAACUUACAAGCGGUCAAAGCAUUGAUUUAUUGAUGUGAUGGCGUGCCUUUUGUAGAAUGAGCCUGCGAGUUACCAUAUGUAGCGAGGUUAAGAGAUAGGAGUCUUGAAGCCGAAGAGAAAUCGAGUCUGAAAAGGGCGAAUAAGUUGCAUGUGGUAGACCCGAAGCCAAGUGAUCUAUCUAUGUCCAGGUUGAAGCGCAAGUAAUAUUGCGUGGAGGACCGAACCUAAAUCCGCUGAAAAGGGUUGGGAUGAGGUGUGGAUAGGAGUGAAAGGCUAAACAAACUUGGAGAUAGCUGGUACUCCCCGAAAUAGCUUUAGGGCUAGCCUUGUAUGGAUUGUUACGGAGGUAAAGCACUGAAUAGACGCGGGCCCUUCACCGGGUACCAACUUUAAUCAAACUCUGAAUGCCGUAAUACAAUGUACAGGAGUCAGACUGCGAAUGAUAAGGUUCGUAGUCGAAAGGGAAACAGCCCAGACCGUCAGCUAAGGUCCCCAAGAUAUGCUAAGUGGGAAAGGAAGUAUAAUUGCAAAGACAGCCAGGAGGUUGGCUUAGAAGCAGCCAUCCCUUAAAAGAGUGCGUAAUAGCUCACUGGUCGAGUAGUUAUGCGCCGAUAAUGUAACGGGGCUAAGCAUAUCACCGAAGCUACGGCAUAUAUACAUAAGUAUAUGUGGGUAGGGGAGCAUUCUAUGUACUGAUGAAGGUGAGUUGAAAAGCUUGCUGGAGGGGAUAGAAGAGAGAAUGCAGGCAUGAGUAACGAAAAGACAGGUGAGAUCCCUGUCCGCCGAAAGCCUAAGGUUUCCAGGGUAAAGGUAAUCUACCCAAGGGUUAGUCGGCCCCUAAGGCGAGGACGAAAGUCGUAGUCGAUGGGAAACUGGUCAAUAUUCCAGUACCUCUGUAUAUUGUGAUGGAUUGACGCAUAGAGCGAAACACAGCAAGGCGAUGGUAGUCCUUGUCUAAAUAUUAAGCAGUUAAUUAUACUAGGCAAAUCCGGUAUAAGAUGUGAGAUAUGAAUGCGAACUUACUUACGGGUAAAGAAAGUGUGUGUAGUUGUCGUGCCAAGAAAUAGAUUCUAAACAAAAGAUAUACAGGGACCGUACUAUAAACCGACACAGGUGGGCGAGCUGAGAAUGCGCAGGCGCACGGAAGAAUUCGCGUUAAGGAACUCGGCAAAAUACAUACGUAACUUAGGGAGAAGUAUGGCCUAUGCGAGAGUAUAGGUUGCAGAGAAAUGGCUCAAGCGACUGUUUACCAAAAACACAGGUCUAUGCGAACCAGCAAUGGGAAGUAUAUGGACUGACACCUGCCCGGUGCUGGAAGGUUAAUAGGAGCUGUUAGAAUUUAGUUCGAAGCAGUGAAUUUAAGCCCCAGUAAACGGCGGCCGUAACUAUAACGGUCCUAAGGUAGCGAAAUUCCUUGUCGGGUAAGUUCCGACCCGCACGAAUGGUGUAACGAUUUGAGCACUGUCUCAACGCGAAAUCCGGUGAAAUUGAAGUAACGGUGAAGAUGCCGUUUACUUGUGGUUAGACGGAAAGACCCCGUGAACCUUUACUUUAGCUUGGCAUUGGUACUUGGAUCUAAAUGUGUAGGAUAGGUGGGAGACUAAGAAUUAUGGGCGUCAGCUUAUAAGGAGUCAUUGGUGAAAUACCACCCUUUUAGAUUUAAGUACCUAACUGAGUCCAUUAUCUGGAUUUAGGACAAUGUCAGGUGGGAAGUUUGACUGGGGCGGUCGCCUCCUAAAGAGUAACGGAGGUGCACAAAGGUCACCUUAGGAUGGUUGGGAAUCAUCUUUCAAGUGUAAAGGCACAAGGUGGCUUAACUGCAAGUCCUACAAGACGAGCAGAUACGAAAGUAGGUCUUAAUGAUCUGGCGGUAGCGAGUGGAAGCGCCGUCACUUAACGGAUAAAAGGUACUCCGGGGAUAACAGGCUGAUCCUGCCCAAGAGUUCAUAUCGACGGCAGGGUUUGGCACCUCGAUGUCGGCUCAUCGCAUCCUGGGGCUGGAGCAGGUCCCAAGGGUUUGGCUGUUCGCCAAUUAAAGCGGUACGCGAGCUGGGUUCA